rnacentral:lncRNA from 1 species
CGUCAUUAUUACACGCAUAUAUUUUCUAACUAGAACCAACCCAAACAAACGUAAGACAAAAAUUGCAACACCAAUAGAAUGACACUUCACAAACAAAGAAAAAAUGAAAACGAGGUGAUCACAGAAUACUAAAGAGAAUUCAUACAAAAACCAAACAAUUCUAAAUUUAACAUGAGAUGAAAACUUCAAUUACACAAAAAACAAGCUGGGUGAGUAGUUCACCUUUACAAGGGCAGCAAGUAGGAACUACGAGUCGAUUAAAGACAUACCACCACUGGAAUUCCAUCAACCCGCUAGAGUUUAAGCUCUACUCCAAUUGAAUUUUCGAAUGCUCUACUCAAGAAUUUUGAUUACGUGAGGUUAAAGGCAAGAACCUUCAGAAACCCCAAGUUUUCCCCCCAAAAUCCUCUCCUUCCUUUUAGCCCUCACUAUCUAUUUAUAGGGGAAAAUUGGGGAGAAAAACUAGGGUUUUCGGAUUCCAAUUUUAAAUUUUGGAUUCAAUUUCUUAAGAGGAUUUGAGUCCCAUUGUAGGACAAAAUUAUUAAUGGCCUUGUACUCCAAUAUCAGUGGAUAUUGGAGAAAAGAGCCGUUGGUUUUAUGGUCAAUGGAGGUGAAUUAAUAGUUUCUCAAAUUAUGAACCACACACUGAAAAAGAUGAAUGAUUUUCUGAUUUUUUUGACAUGAACAACUAUCCGAGAGAGAAAAAUAGUAAAUGGGACGUCUGGGGGUUUUACCGUUG